AAUCGUGUUUGCUUAAUUUGGGUUUGUACUCAUCCGUUUGCUUAAUUCAGAAUAUAGGAAUAUAAAUCUAUCAUGUAUCUAUUGCGCUUGUCAAUCAAAAUUGAAUCGAAUAGAGAUCGAAGAUGCUUUGGGAAUUGACAGGUAAAAACCAAUGAUUAGCCGGAAACCAAAAAUAGUAGAUUGGCUUAUUUUAUAAUCGCUUAUUUUAAUCACUUUUUU
rnacentral:lncRNA from 1 species